GUCUCUGUGGUGCAAUUGGUUAGUGCGUUAGACUGUUAAUCUAAAGGUUGGUGGUUUGAGCCCACCCAGGGACA
rfam:Salmo salar isolate Sally breed double haploid chromosome ssa07, whole genome shotgun sequence.